rnacentral:lncRNA from 1 species
UUGGGGCAGUAACAUCAAAGCAUGUUGAAUGCUGUUCUCGAUGAUGUUUUCCACUCUCGAUGGUGGGGGAGAUACCGUCACCAUCCUUUGUCUGUGGCCUCGGGCUAGCGAAGACAUCAUUGACCGAAUUCUCGAUCACUUGAGGGAGCAGGUCGACCUCUAUGGGAGGUCAGAGGAUUGGAUUCUAGUGUUCUCCUUAAGGGUCGUCAGGGUGGAUCUAUGGAAAAGGGCAUUAGGUGCCUUCAUGAAGUCACAGAAAUCUUGCGGUCCCUCCAAAGGAGGACCAAUGGGUCUGGCCUACCAUUGUCGGUGAUUCCGAUCUACCUGGCACCAGAGGGGUCACUUUCAUGAAAUCCCAAGGGCCUCGUGUGUUCGUCGUGGCAUGCUUUGGGUAAUGAUGGUGCUAUUGAGGUAGGCGGCUUGGGCCUUUGGCCAUCAAUUUUGGUAAUUUUUGAGAUCACUCGUUUGGCAACACCUAUUGCCUGGUCAGCGGGAGUGGUUGGGAGAGUUUAGCCUUGGCCUUCCUUAUAAAGGACUCCUCCCCCUUAGGCCAAGGUUCAUCGGCGACCUCCCAUGCUGCAGUGAUGCUGUUCUGCCACUACUGAGAGA